UCCGUAUUAACUACGGCAGUCUCCCUAGAGUGCCCAACUUAAUGCUGGCAACUAAGGACAGGGGUUGCGCUCGUUGCGAGACUUAACCCAACAUGUCACCACACGAGCUGACGACAGCCAUGCAGCACCUGUCACCUUGUUGUAUUGCUACAAAGAUUGUGUUUCCACAACUGUCAAGGGAUGUCAAACCCAGGUAAGGUUCUUCGCGUUGCUUCGAAUUAAACCACAUGAUCCACCGCUUGUGCGGGCCCCCGUCAAUUCCUUUGAGUUUUAAUCUUGCGACCGUACUUCCCAGGCGGGAUACUUAUUGCGUUAGCUCCGACUCGGCAAGGGUCAAGUCCCGCCAAAUCUAGUAUCCAUCGUUUACAGCGUGGACUAC
rnacentral:misc_RNA from 1 species